rnacentral:rRNA from 1 species
UACGGGGGGAGCAAGCGUUGUUCGGAUUUACUGGGCGUAAAGGGCGCGUAGGCGGUCAGCACAAGUCAGUUGUGAAAUCUCCGGGCUUAACUCGGAAAGGUCAACUGAUACUGUGCGACUAGAGUGUAGAAGGGGCAACUGGAAUUCUCGGUGUAGCGGUGAAAUGCGUAGAUAUCGAGAGGAACACCGGUGGCGAAGGCGGUCUGCUGGGCAGUAGCUGACACUGAGGCGCGACAGCGUGGGGAGCAAACAGG